UACCAGCACCCCGAGUGGUCGGGACGAUUAUUGGGCCUAAAGCAUCCGUAGCCGGUUCUGCAAGUCCCCCGUUAAAUCCAGCUGCUCAACAGAUGGGCCGCGGAGGAUACUACAGAGCUAGGAGGCAGGAGAGGCAAGCGGUACUCAGUGGGUAGGGGUAAAAUCCGUUGAUCCAUUGAAGACCACCAGUGGCGAAGGCGGCUUGCCAGAAUGCGCUCGACGGUGAGAGAUGAAAGCUGGGGGAGCAAACCGG
rnacentral:rRNA from 1 species